rnacentral:lncRNA from 1 species
UAGAACACUCCUUUGAUUUCAUAAACCUAUUUUCUCCACUUUCACACUUCAAAGUACUACUUAUCUCUCAAUUAAUUUCAUCUUAUAGCUAGAUUUCUUAAUUUCGGGUAAGCUUUUCCCUUAAUUUUUUCUUUAAUCUUUUCCCGCUUUUGCUUGUUUGAAUCGCUUAUUUGCCCCUGAUAUUGCUUAUUGUGCUUGAUAAUGAAAUAUCUUAUGUGUAAAUUCAAAGGCAACCCAAAGCCACCCACCGCUCUACCAUUUUUUGACUCUUUUGAUAGAGCUUGAGUGUAUGCUGCAGCUUGCGGAUGUAUUGGAGCGCCUUUUCUUUCGUUCAAUCUCAGGAAAUCUCAUCCAUUGAGAUUGAGUCCGAUAAAUGGUAAGAUCAUUUAUUUGUUAAAUAUUUUCAUUUGUUGUGAGAAAAUUUUCAGGGUUAGUUUUUUCAACUGUGUUUUCCUAUUAAUUUGACAAAAUAAUUUUUAGAUUGAAAUAUGAAUAUAUUGUAGAGGGAUAUAAAUUGUUAGACAAAUUGUUAAGAUGGUACAAGAUUUAUCUAAAUACAAGAUAUAUAUAUAUAUAUAUAUAUAUAUAUAUAUAUCUUGUAUUUAGAUAAAUCUUGUACCAUCUUAACAAUUUGUCUAACAAUUUAUAUCCCUCUACAAUAUAUUCAUAUUUCAAUCUAAAAAUUAUUUUGUCAAAUUAAUAGGAAAACACAGUUGAAAAAACUAACCCUGAAAAUUUUCUCACAACAAAUGAAAAUAUUUAACAAAUAAAUGAUCUUACCAUUUAUCGGACUCAAUCUCAAUGGAUGAGAUUUCCUGAGAUUGAACGAAAGAAAAGGCGCUCCAAUACAUCCGCAAGCUGCAGCAUACACUCAAGCGGCCCGUUUAAGCCCCGUGGGCUCGGCCUAUUUAGCCUCGGGAUCAUGUGGGCUUAGGCUCGUAGUGGACCGAUUACACCCUCCAGGACCGCUAAUUUCGGGACCGCCAGAGCCCGUGACCGUUUGGCUCGGCCCGUUUAGCCCAUUUAGGCCCGAGCCCGACCCAUAAUACAGUCUUAGUUCAAAUUAGACUAGAUACUUUCGUUUUUAGUUUAUAUUUCAAAAUAAAUGACACAUUUUUAAAUUUGGAAAUAAUUCAAUUUUAAACUUUUUGUUCUACCAAUUUUACCUUUAAUGAAAAGCUUUUAUAAUUACACACAUGUCGGCCUCACAAAGCUUUUGUCUCUUAAGUUUUUAUGACCACAAAUUUCAAAGGUCUUCCCUUUUCCCAUAAACUCUGAGUCAAACUAUAAGUGGAAACGAAUGAAAUAUUUUUCUAGUAUUGAUCUACAUACUAUUAGGGCAAAAACUAUUUAGGUAAAAAUACAAUAGUGCAAACGUGUAAUACUAAAAUAACGAAUUACCUUUACUAAUUGUUAUGCUUGUGCAAAUUUAGUUUUACAGCAAAAUUUCAAUUCAAAUUAUUAUGCAUUGUUUCCAAAUAGGAGAUAUACUAUCAUGACUUUUAUUUUUAUUUUUUAGUAAAAUCGAUUCAUACCGAAAUAAUUGUGCCAUGUUUAAUAUCACUAUAUGUCUAUUUUUAUUUCAUAUUUUCAUUUCACAUCAAAUAAUAAACAAGUUUUUCACAUAAGUUAUGCAUAUUUUAUGAUUAUCUUUACAACUCAUUCAGUUCAAAUAAGAUGAGUAGAAAGAACAUGGUGAUAUCGAGAUGAAUAGAACUGGAAAAUUCAAAUUGUCUCACAACCUUGUAAUUAUCCAAGCUAUUUCUAGAAGUUAAUAAUAAUUCGUUAAAAUUAACAAGUUGUAUAGGUAUAGGACAAUAGCCAUAGUUUAGAGUGAGAAACUCUAGCCUCUCUCUAAAAUCAAUCCCCAUAUUCUUCGUCUCCAAAAUCUAAGUUAUGCUCCUCAAUACUCCCCGUGCCUAUCCACUAAUUGACCUAAACAACAUGGAAACUACACCAAACAGCUUGAUCGGAGAUACCACAUCUCCAACCAACAUGAGUCUCAACUCUACCCAUCCAAAUGCGCCACAAACAAGCCUUGGCCCUAAUACCACCCAAAAAUCCCAACCACUGGAAACUGGGCAAUAUCACCAAGGAAAACCGUUGUUCUUAAGCAUACUAAACAACAACCCCACUUCCAGCAACCUUUCAAACAACAUAUGCGUCCAAAACGACAUUAACAUGGACAUGAUAACCACGAAUGAAACUGAAAAUCCUUUCCUCUAAGAAGACGAAGAUAUCUUCAUCCCCAUAACCUCUGAAGAUAAAGAGAGAUUAUAUAGGAACUGGGAAACAACCCUUAUAGUUAAGGUUUUUGGGAAAAGAGUUGGGUAUUAAUUCCUCAAACGUAAGCUUCAAGCGAUUUGGAAGCCAAACAAAACUAUUUCCCUUAUCGACCUAGGAUACGACUACUAUCUUAUAAAAUUUAACAAGCAAGAAAAUUACAAUAAAGCUCUUCAUGAGGGUCCUUGGUUCAUUGGAAACCGGUUUCUUACCAUAAGAAAAUGGGAGCCUAGAUUUGUAGCAUUGGAAGCAUCACUAACAUACUCGGCUAUUUGGGCUAGUCUACCUGAACUCCCUACAGAAUUUUAUGACUAUGAAAUCCUACAAAAAAUAGGGAACAAGCUAGGAGAACUUAUACGUAUUGAUGCAUGCACCUCGUCAGCCCUUAGGGGGAAAUAUGCCCGACUAUGCAUCCUAGUUCCAAUUGAAAACCCCCUAAAAACCCAUAUAAUACUAGGUAAACACUACCAGAAAAUAACGUAUGAAUGCUUCAACGUCUUAUGCACGAACUGCGGGACGCCUAGGUCACAAUGUAAUAUCCUGCCCAAACAAAAGAAUAGAGACCCAAAAUAAUAAUAUCAUGCCCAGUAAUACCAAAAAAACACCUCAGGAUAUUGAUUCCAUCACUACAAAGGUUGAAAAUUGGACCAUAGUCUCUCAUUAUAGAAGAAAAACGAAACUGGACUUAGGUCAGCAUAAUACCUCGAAUCCCAAACCUCCCAUGCACAUCACUAUCGAAAAGUAUAACCCAAAUGCUUCGAACAAUACCCAAACAAAAAAGGGACUCUCAUAGGGUCGUACGACUUUUUUCCACUGAACAACCCCCACCCAACCCCACCUUACCCCCCCUCCCACACAGAAGCACCUUCUCUCGACACAUUAGUAAAACCCUUAUACCCCAAAAGUCCCUAUCAAUACAUAGGUCUGCUACUACAACUACUCUAGACAUGACACACCCUACAAAUGACAAAGACCUUCCCGCCUGGACAAUGACCCUAACCUACAAAAGAAUGCUAUCCAACCCUUGCUACCCUAUCCAAUAACACAAUCAGCCCCUCAAACGAGACCACCAACACCUUUUUCACAGAAAACUCGGUGCAAAAACAUCUGUUUAUUUCUCCCUCUAUAGACAACGAAGUCCCAUCAACUAAACUACAACACUUAGAUCAACACCUAGGCUCUACCAUUUUUAGUGCAUCAAAUACAAACGGUUUCACAACAUUAAACAACAGGUUUUCUCCAUUAGAACCUAUACAUACCUCACAUCAAUCUCCUUCUCCAAUGUCCUUAGAUUCAAACCAAAACAUUCCCCUUGACAUAACCCCAGCCAUAGAAAUUAAUGUCCUCCUCUUAAAUUCUCCAGUGGAUACUUCAUUAAAUAACACUAACGAUUUAAAACACAUUCAAGACCCUCACUCGGCCAGUAACAGUGUUCCUAACAUAAUUCCAAGUUCAAACAACAUCUCUACCAAAAAUACCAAGGCUUCCAAGCAACUACCACACGAGAAAUGUAAGAACAAAGGAGGAAUGUUUGGAUACGGGAACAACACCAAAGACACAAUCAUGCCUUCAACCACCCCAACUGACUCCACAACUACUCCAACCACCAACACUCUUCACAACCCUACCAAUUCAACCAAAACAUACUCCCCAGAGCUGGUUGGAACAAGGUCUAAUGGGACACGGCCUAAGCAUGAGCUUAAGGAUCAAUAGGGAGGAUAUAGUCACACAAAUAGAAGACCCAUGUUUUUUAGAUAAAAUAAUAGCGUAAGGGAUGAGAAUAGCCAUGGGGAACAUAGUAAACAAUCCUUGGAUAAACCAUGCAUUAAACAUUCAUUAAGGAAUGUCAUCACCAUGGCUUCAUCUUCCAUGGCAGAACCAACAACCAUGGAAUCCUCUCUUACCAUUCAAUCUUCUCAACAUACAAUCACCCCUCUUCCCAAAUAUCCAACCUCCCCCAAAUCUAACCCCAUAUACUAGACUAUGCAUGGCACGACCCCAAGCAUGCAUGGUCCAAUACCGAGCCACCAAGCUGUCCACAACACCCCAACAACCCCUCCCUCACCCAUACGACAGAAUCAUCCACCCAACGUGAAGAGAGAAGAUGAGGAAGACAGUCCAACGGAAAGGGUGGUAGAACAUGGAGUACUAAGGUCACCAAAAACCCUAGUGUUCAAAGUAAGAAAAAAAAGGUUCAUCUUAAGUUACCCGCUGGAUUUGAAAAAAUACUCAAUAAUUAUAAAGAAAUUGGGGACUCCAGGGAUCUACCAAUAUGUAAUGGUGUUGAUCCCGACAAUGUUCUUCAACUUUUGGAUAAGCCAAGAAGGAACACCGAGCAAGGGGAUACUCCUCUCUCAAGCGGGAGAUGAGUUCACACAAUAGAAACAUAAGUGUGAGUUUUAUUUCUUGGAAUUGUCGUGGAGUAGGAAAUGUUGAUUUCAGAAUAGCUUUUAGAUCCAUGCUUGAUUAUCACAAACCUAGUGUGAUUGCACUACUAGAAACAAGAUUAUCUGAUCAUCAUGUCAUUGUGGAGGAUUUUGGAUUUUCAAGUCUAACAUAGGUUGUGGCACAAGGAAACUCGGGAUGAAUGACACUAAUGUGGAGCAAUGAUGAAGUCAAUGUGGACCAAAUAGGGGGAAUUGAUCAUGAAAUCCAUGCUAUGGUGAAGGUAAAAAUUCUUCCUAAAACUUGGUUAUGCUCAAUUAUUUAUGCUAGUAGUUUAUUAGAGGAAAGAAUUAUUCUUUGGAAUAACCUAAAACAGGGCCCUGGUUAGUAUUAGGAGAUUUCAAUGAGGUCACCAAAGCAAGCGAGAAAUUUGGAGGUCUCCCCGUCAAUAACUAUAGAAUUUUAAAAUUUAUUAAUUAUCUUAAUACUUGCAAACGUAUAGACCUAGGGUUUAAAGGCCCAAAGUAUACCUGAUUAAAUAAGAGGAAAAAGAAUAAAAAUGCUUUUAUUAUGGAGAGACUAGACAGAUUUGUAGCCAAUAGUGAAUGGAUCGGUAUGUUUUCUGAAGCUCGUGUAAAACACCUUAUAAGAACCCACUCUGAUCAUUGUCCCAUAAAUCUACACCUUAUCAAAAUACCAAUCUGUAGCAAUAAUAUAUUUCGAUUAGAAACCAUAUGGUUAUCCCAUCCCACUUUUAGGGGUUUAGUAAUGGACUGCUGGACAAACCAGCUUAAUAUAUCAACUGCUAGUAACAACUUCACUAAUAAAGCUACUACCUGGAAUAAAGAUACCUUUGGAAAUAUCUUUUCAAAAAAAGAACGAAAUCCUAGCUAUAGUAGAAGGCAUUCAAAAAUCUACAAAUUACACAACUAACAACUUCUUGACUAACUUAGGAAAUGAACUACUAGAAGAAUUACAAAAAGCCCUCAAACUAGAAGAGGAAUUAUGGAAACUGAAAUCUAGAAUCCAGUAGAUCCAAUAUGGUGAUGCCAAUACAAAAAUUUUCCACCUCACAACGCUACAAAGAAGAAGGAAAAAUAGAAUUUUUAGCAUUAGAGAUGAGGCUGGCAAUUGGUUCCACAACCCAAAGAAACUUUCCCAUAUCAUAAUAAAUUUCUAUAAAAAUCUAUAUACCACUAAUCAUACUUCCUCCAAAAAAAUACUAAUAAACAUGCCUACCCUAUCCUCAAUUACCCCAAUUGACCAUUUCUCUCUCACCAAAGAGCGUGAUGAGGAGGAAGUAAAGAAAGCCCUUUUCUCCUUUUGAACUACUAAAAGCACCGGACCGGAUGGUAUCCACCAUUUCUUCUACCAAAAAUUAUAGGGAAUAACUAACAACAUUCUGGUCAAAUUCUAUAAAGAAUCCUUCACAAAGGAAAAAAUGACUGAAGACAUGAAUAAUACCUAUGUUUGUUUAAUACCAAAAUAUCAGAAUGCUGAAACCUUAAAGCAAUACCUUUGUAACACUACCUAUAAGUCGUCACGAAAAUUAUUAUUUAUAGAAUAAAACCCUUGCUCAACAAAAUUAUUCAUCCUUCUCAAACAAGCUUUAUAAAAGGAAGGAGAGCCUCUGACAAUGCCAUAAUAGUGCAUGAAGUCCAUAAUUUCUUCAAAAAUUCCAAAGGGAAGAAAGGGAAAAUCAUGAUUAAAAUUGACUUAGAAAAGGCUUUUGACAAACUAGAACCGUCUUUCAUUAGAUUCUCCCUGAAAUUCCUUAACUUUCCGUAUGAACUAAUCGAGUUAAUAAUUUCAUGUGUAUCAUCCACAUCCACAUCCACCUCCAUACUCAUAAAUUGUUCAAGCACAUAAUUCUUCACCCCUACUAGAGGCAUUAGGUAAGGGGACCCCUAUCCCCGUACCUAUUCAUAAUAUGCAUGAAAAUGCACUCUAGACUCAUUGAUCAUGAAGUAGACUGUUGUAGAUGGGACUCCAUAACCUUGUCAAAAAAGGGUCCCAAAUUAUCUCACAUGUUCUUUGCUGACGACCUCAUUCUUAUUAUGGAGGCCAAUCAAAAAAGGUGCGACUCUCUUAUAGAUACUCUGAAUAAAUUAUGUGAGUUCUCCGGCCAAUCCAUCAACUUCAGCAAAUCUAGAAUAAUCUUUUCUAACCGACAAACAGUCUCUCCUUGGUAGGUGCCUAAACAUGAAAAUAUCAAACUCGGCAUGAAAAUACCUAGGUUUACCCAUGACAAACCAUAGGCUAUCCAAAAAAGACUUCUGAUUCAUUAUCGACAAUCUAAACAACAGACUAAAAGGAUGGAAACCACACUUUCUAAACCUAGCAGGAAGAACCACCAUCAUUAAAGCAACCCUUGCAACCAUUCCUAACCAUAACAUGCAAAUUUUUAACCUACCUAGAGCUAUCCAAAAUAAGAUAGACUCGAUCCAACGUAAUUUUCUAUGGGGAAGUACGGAGUAAAAAAUAAAAUGCCACUUGCUUAAAUGGAACAAGGUCACUACUCCAAAAAGACAUGGAGGCCUAGGGCUUUUUAAAACCAGCUGUAAAAAUGAUGCCUUCAUCACCAGUCUUGCUUGGAGAUACUCUAACAACAAGGAAUCCUUAUGGGUCAAAGUUUUGCGCAAUAAAUAUGAUAGGAAAACCAACCAUAAUAAUGAACUCAAUCCUAUUCUUGUGUCCUCAGACAUCGGGGAAAACAUCUAUAAAGGAAACAAGAUUUUCCAAAAAGGGAAUAAAUGGAUUAUAGGUAAUGGAUAAAGCAUAAAUCUUUGGAACAUAGAUGGAAAAACUAUGGGAAUACACUAAGGGAUAGUAUCCAUGGGCCUUUCCAAAAAGGGGAAGAAGAUAUGAAGGUAAAAUCUAUCAUUCAAGACGGUUACUUCAACCUAUCAAAAUUAUCCUUCGAAUUGAAGAUAUAACCCUAAAAAUCCAUUGCACUUAUAUCCAACAAUCCCAGUCAAGUAGGGAUAAGAUCUCCUGGAAUCCCCAGGCUAUAACUCUUUCUCCAUCAAGGCAGCAUAUGAUCUUAUUACUCACCAGGAUACUCAUAUUGAAGAGAACAACCUCAACUAUAAGUGGACCUCACCCUGAGCAAACUAAAAUACUUCAUGUGGUUGUUCACCCUGAACAGACUCCCAAUAACCACCUUUCUAGCAACACGUAAUAUCUGCACAUCUGACAUCUGCACCAUAUGUGGAACUGAAAAGGAGGACAUAAAAUGCAUGCUAUUCUAUUGUACCCAUUCAAAGGAAAUCCGGAGGCAAUGUCACAUAAAACACAACUACCCACCUUCGGAUAAUGAACUAUCUACUUUCUACUGGCUAAAGCACCAACUAAAUUCAAACAAGCGUUAUAAUCAAUACAACAAUUGGCAUGUCUUCUUACCUUUCCUCCUAUGGUACUUAUGGGCCACUAGAAAUGAAAAGAUAUUUCACAAAAGUAGCCCAUAUCCCAACAUUAGCAAAGUAAUCAAUAGUACUCAGGAAUUUCUCUUCCUAAGAAACUGGAGUCUCAUCCGAAGACCAAAAAGAACAAUCCUCAUUAAAUGGCAACCACCAGACUUAGGAACCUACAAACUAAACAUAGAUGGAUCAUGCUUGGGUAACCCAGGUAGGGGGCAUAAGAGGGGUUUUUAGAGAUAGCAAUGGAAACUGGAUACUAGGAUUCAGAAUGGGAUUUGCAUAUGCUACGAAUAUCCAAAUGGAAGCCAUGUCCCUACUACAUGUCCUAAAACUAGUCAUACAAAAGAGACUAACUCCUUUAGUCAUUGAAACAGACUACUUAUUAACCUGAUAAACAAUGAUAAUUGCCUUUUAUCAAAAUAUUAUUAAUGAUUCAGGUUCCUAUUAUCUGAGGCGGGCACGCCACCAUUGAGGCAUGCAUUCAGAUAAGCUAAUAGGUAGUGGACGCCUUAGCCAAGAAUGGAUGCAGUUUGGACUCUUUUGCUGAUUUAAUGUUGUAUCAUUAUCCACCUAUAUUUGCUAUUUCAGUUUUUGAUAGAGAUGGGAUAAGCACUGCAUGGCCUAGAUAAAUAUCAUGUUGAAAUGACUACUGAGUUUUUAUGUUGUGAAUAAAUGUCUUUAUUUACCAAAAAAUAAUAAUUUAUAUAGGUCGAAAUCAGGUAUGUCCGAUUUCACGGUCGAGGGGAUGCCUCAAGACCGAGUUCAGGAAGGGUCAAGAUUUGAGCCCGAUGGAUCAAGCUCAAGACCGACGACAGAAUAUAAGGCUUGAAGAUUGAAGUACACAGUGAGCACUGAAGCCAAGUGCGUCCGACGUUAUGAGUUUGUAACAGAAUGAGUAAGAUUCCCGCCACGUUCCCAAGUUCAUGGUGUGAAAUUCGGAAUCGAUUUGUACGAGUUAGUACUAAUCUGUACUAGGUGGUUAGACAGUUCUCCCAAUAACAUUCAUUACUGUAAAUAGAAAUAUACCUUAUUUGGGGUUCCCCUAUUAUAUAAAGGGAACACCGAUCAU